UCUGAGGUAGCUCAGCGGUAGAGCAGGGGACUGUUAAUCCCUUGGUCGUGGGUUCGAUCCCCACCCUCAGAGCCA
rnacentral:tRNA from 1 species